GAUGAAGAACGCAGCGAAAUGCGAUAAGUAAUGUGAAUUGCAGAAUUCAGUGAAUCAUCGAAUCUUUGAACGCACAUUGCGCCCCUUGGUAUUCCGAGGGGCAUGCCUGUUCGAGCGUCAUUAUAACCCCUCAAGCUCAGCUUGGUGUUGGGGCCUGCUGCACUGGCAGCCCUUAAAAUCAGUGGCGGCGCCAUCUGGCUCUAAGCGUAGUAAUUCUUCUCGCUAUGGAGUCCUGGUGGAUGCUUGCCAUCAACCCCCAAUUUUUCUAUGGUUGACCUCGGAUCAGGUAGGGAUACCCGCUGAACUUAAGCAUAUCAAUAAGCGGAGGA
rnacentral:misc_RNA from 1 species